GUUUAGCUGUGGCUCAGCUGGUAGAGCAGUGGGUCAACAACGCAAAGGUAAUGGGUUCAAAUCCUACAGAAACU